GUGAAAAUGGACAUUAAAAAGAGGCGAAAAAUAGACUCAACAAUGUUUCAAUAUUAAUCAUAUGAGUAGAGGGGUCCGAACCCCCAUCGAUUCUGUGAAAAGAAUCACACCAGUUAUGGGACCGGAGCCAACACCCAAAUAGCCACUCUCCUCAGGGAAACAGAUUAUUGUCUAAUAGAGUGGGCACAUAUCAUAGACAGGACAGUAAUAAAAUAACGUCCGUAGAUGCCAAUUAAUAGCCACAUUGCAUCAUCACUAUGAGUGUGACCCUCCAUCAGUUUUAAGAGAGUACAAUCAAUUAGGCAUGUAUUAUAUGGUGGCGAAUUUAAAAAUUGAUGCUAGA
rnacentral:misc_RNA from 1 species